CCUACGGGUGGCAGCAGUGAGGAAUAUUGGUCAAUGGGCGUACGCCUGAACCAGCCAAGUCGCGUGAGGGAGGACUGCCCUGUGGAUUGUAAACCUCUUUUGUCAGGGAGCAACGCCGGCUACGUGUAGCCGGACUGAGAGUACCUGAAGAAAAGGCAUCGGCUAACUCCGUCCCAGCAGCCGCGGUAUUACGGAGGAUGCGAGCGUUAUCCGAAUUUAUUGGGUUUAAAGGGUGCGUAGGCGGAAUGCCAAGUCAGCGGUAAAAUCGCGGGGCUCAACCCCGCUCCGCCGUUGAAACUGGCGUUCUUGAGUGGGCGAGAAGUAUGCGGAAUGCGUGGUGUAGCGGUGAAAUGCAUAGAUAUCACGCAGAACUCCGAUUGCGAAGGCAGCAUACCGGCUCCAAACUGACGCUGAAGCACGAAAGCGUGGGUAUCGAACAGGAUUAGAUACCCUUGUAGUC
rnacentral:rRNA from 1 species